AUUGAACGCUGGCGGCAGGCCUAACACAUGCAAGUCGAGCGGAUGAAGGGAGCUUGCUCCUGGAUUCAGCGGCGGACGGGUGAGUAAUGCCUAGGAAUCUGCCUUGUAGUGGGGGAUAACGUCCGGAAACGGGCGCUAAUACCGCAUACGUCCUGAGGGAGAAAGUGGGGGAUCUUCGGACCUCACGCUAUCAGAUGAGCCUAGGUCGGAUUAGCUAGUUGGUGGGGUAAAGGCCUACCAAGGCGACGAUCCGUAACUGGUCUGAGAGGAUGAUCAGUCACACUGGAACUGAGACACGGUCCAGACUCCUACGGGAGGCAGCAGUGGGGAAUAUUGGACAAUGGGCGAAAGCCUGAUCCAGCCAUGCCGCGUGUGUGAAGAAGGUCUUCGGAUUGUAAAGCACUUUAAGUUGGGAGGAAGGGAAGUAAGUUAAUACCUUGCUGUUUUGACGUUACCAACAGAAUAAGCACCGGCUAACUUCGUG
rnacentral:rRNA from 1 species